CACUCAACACAUCUGCAGGGAGAGGGCACCUUCUUACCCCUCGUCUGUUCCCUUUAGUUACAUGUCCAUCUCUCCGGUUAGCCUGUGACCUUCCAGUGGCCGACUUUCAUCUGCCCUCUGUGCCCCCGGUGACUCUGAUUGACCCAUAGAAGGUAUUCAGUGAAGGUUUGUUUUGAAAAUGAAUCCAGGCCGUCAAGGGGGGCAUUUCCAAUAAUAGCCAUUGUUUGCACUGUAUGCUUCCUGUGCAACCUAACCAUGUAUGAAAUCAUAGAGCGGUAGUACAUUCACAAAUGCCAUAAACACAGCAUUGCAUAUGCUACGAAGAGCCUUGAAGUCAGCAUGGAAGGUCCCUGAGCACUUAGAAGAAAAUCUUCCUAAACUUCCUACGUGAAUACUCACACAAAACCACACUUGAAGGAGCACGCCCCACCCCAAAUCAGGAUCGAUUUCUCGCUAGGUCAUUUGACAAAGUACUGAAGAGACUGCCACGUGCCAGCCACCAUCCUAGGGUCUGGGAUUCCAAAAAUGAUGAAGACACAGUCUGUGCCUACGAGGAACUUGGCAGAGAGCCCAGAGGAUUUAGAGCAGAGGAAGAGCUGGGGCUUUGGAAGGCCUGGCCCAGGGGCUGUCCCAGAGUCCGCUCCAUGCAAGACAAUCAGUUGUCAGGGCAGAGACAACAAACCUACAAAAAGCACGAGAAAAAGCCCAAGAGGUUUGCACCAUUUAGUAACAGUGCACACGACAGAUGUAUCUCAGGGCCUACGUAUAUAGCAGUGAGCCUUAAUCAUCCCACAAAAAUGUUCAUGAUGUUCUCGUUUUUCGUUGUCGUCAGUUAUAUGUCCACGUGUGUGUAUGUACUUCAGUGUUUAAGUUUUGGUACGUAAAGCAACAAAUCUUCAACACCUCCCAAAUGAUGACUCAUCUACCCACAAUUCAGGACAGUGGAGCAGUUGAAUGAACAGAGGCCCAUCAGAGAACAAUGUACACAGGAAUUGAUUGUGUGGCUCUCACAGUAAGUGCUAUGGGAGUCGAGGGAAGGGAGACACGAGUGUGGGCUGGAGAGACUGCAGAAGACUUUCAGGCGUCAGAAAACUAGGAAAAGGGGGUCACCGUAGGAAAAGGGAAGAGCCACCAAGAGGAGGAAGGUCUGUAUUUUCCCCCUUUCUGCUGCGCUGCUGGAUAACUCGGGACGGGCAGAAAGGCGACAGUCUCUUUCCCUUGUGUGAGAAGCCCGCUUUGGACAGGGGUGACCCCAGGAGAUGGCUCUGGACAGCAUGUGGGAAUGCAGACCACCCACGGAGAGUUUGGUAUCUCUUCUGCCUUUUCCCUUCCUUCAGCCAUAACCAGCUCAGCCACAUAACCAGCUUAACAAGUGCAGGCAACACUGGGAAGACUGGUCACGCUAACCUCCUGGCCCCUUCUCAGGGAGGAUCUUGCAAAAAAUGUUAAGUCUGACCCUUGCAUUACUUUCCUGCUUAAAAUCCUUCAGCAGCAUUUAGCAGCAGCUUCUUGGUUGGACUCAGACUCCACGACUCACUAGAUAUGUGAUCUUGGGCAGGUUACCUAACUAUUCCGUGCCUCAGUUUCCCCGUUUGUGAAAUGGGAAUGAUGAUAACAAUAAUACCUCUUCAAAGGGUCGUUAUGAGGAUCUGAUGGGUUAUUAUUGAUAAAACGCUUUGAACAGUGCUAUGUACCUGUUCAUUAAACAGAAUCAACUCAGAAUCCUUCCGGGGACUCACAAGCCCUCAAUGAUCUCACUGUAGCUUUUCUCCUUAUCUCUUGGCUUUCCCCCCUUUCUCUGGGGCCUCAGUCCCUUCUAAGCUUUGCUCCGCUGUCCUCUCUUUCCUUGUAUCUUCACCUGGU
ensembl:lncRNA